UUAGUACUACUCCACAAGCGCUUAAUGAAAUGAUACAAUCAAAGAUUGUGGUGAAUUGAUGAGACUACUCUUUCUUUAAUUAAAGGUGUCAGGUUCGAGUCCUGGGUAUAGAAAAAUCUUUGGUUGGGAGCGUUUCUACCAAAGGUGUUAGACGGUUCAACCGGUCCGGUCCGGGUCGCAAUUUUUUCGACCCGUCCGGGUUCCGGGCCGGGCCGGGUUGAGUAGUGCCGGUUUCUUAACGGGCCGGGUUUGUUCGGGUUAAAAUUGAACCAUACGGGUUACGGGUUGAAGGGGGCCGGGCCUGGUUUAGUAUAUUUUCAAUUUUUUUUUUGGAAUUAAGUAUAACUAUUAAGUAACAAUUAUAUUGAUACUUUGUAAUAAUUGAAUGAAUACAAGUAAGAUGGG
rnacentral:lncRNA from 1 species